GAUGAACGCUGGCGGCGUGCCUAAUACAUGCAAGUCGAGCGAACAGACGAGGAGCUUGCUCCUCUGACGUUAGCGGCGGACGGGUGAGUAACACGUGGAUAACCUACCUAUAAGACUGGGAUAACUUCGGGAAACCGGAGCUAAUACCGGAUAAUAUAUUGAACCGCAUGGUUCAAUAGUGAAAGACGGUUUUGCUGUCACUUAUAGAUGGAUCCGCGUCGCAUUAGCUAGUUGGUAAGGUAACGGCUUACCAAGGCAACGAUGCGUAGCCGACCUGAGAGGGUGAUCGGCCACACUGGAACUGAGACACGGUCCAGACUCCUACGGGAGGCAGCAGUAGGGAAUCUUCCGCAAUGGGCGAAAGCCUGACGGAGCAACGCCGCGUGAGUGAUGAAGGUCUUCGGAUCGUAAAACUCUGUUAUUAGGGAAGAACAAAUGUGUAAGUAACUAUGCACGUCUUGACGGUACCUAAUCAGAAAGCCACGGCUAAUUACGUG
rnacentral:rRNA from 1 species